GAAUAGCGAAUGGAGACACAGUAUUGGUUCAAUACGCUGAUGAUUUUGGCAUCAUCGUGAGAGCCAAAAACCUGGAAGCCCUGAAAGAGAAAGCACAAAGUAGUUUGGACGACUUUGUAACACGAGCAGAACAACUAGGAUUUCAAAUAAAUCUAGAGAAGACCAAUAGUCUUCUCUUCACUACACGCAGAAGAAUUUUAAUAUGUUGAAACUAAGAACGCAUUGGUUAGAAUCAAUAAUUUAUGUAUGUAUCAAAUCAAUUCAUUCCCAUGUUAGUUUCUAAACCAGUAUAUUUUUAAAACAACAAAAUUUCUAGUUGAAUGAAAAUAUGGUAGUAGAUUUUCGCUUCAACAAUUUACAAUUAUUAUUUCUAUAAUUGUGAUUUUUAGAAUCUACAAUAUUUUUUAUUUAUGGUCGCCAUCAUGUAUUUGUGAGAAAAAGUGACGCGAACGAAAUGAAUAGAGCUGAAAGUAUAUCCGGUGAAAAACGAUAAGAAUUCAUUAAAUUGCUGCAAAUUUUUGAUUUAUCAGACGGUAAUUAUUUGAGGCAAGUUAAUACUUUCAGAAGGCAUUUCAUUUAUAUAUCACACAAUUUAUUUUCAGCCAAUAUGUGCCGAAGAAAUGGAAAUUAUACUUUUAGCGGCGGGAGGAAAACUAUCGCACAAGAAAAGCAAAAGAAUGUGCCGUCCGGGUUAUUCAGCAACGACAACGGCUGGUGAAAUUUGAUGUGAGCUGCUCACAACCUAUGGAACCAUCCAGAGAUGAACUUUGUUCUAGAACAUCACAAUCAUUCAUUCUGAUUAGAUAAACAUGAUUAUAUAAUAAACGAGCAAGCAUCAAUAAAAA